rnacentral:rRNA from 1 species
CUAGCNCGGUACUCGCGAAUGCUCUAGAUUAGACGUUGAUCAUGGCUCAGACUGAACGCUGGUCGUGUAAGCCUAACACAUGCAAGUCGAACGGCAGCACAGGAGAGCUUGCUCUCUGGGUGGCGAGUGGCGGACGGGUGAGGAAUACAUCGGAAUCUACUCUGUCGUGGGGGAUAACGUAGGAAACUUACGCUAAUACCGCAUACGACCUACGGGUGAAAGCAGGGGAUCUUCGGACCUUGCGCGAUUGAAUGAGCCGAUGUCGGAUUAGCUAGUUGGCGGGGUAAAGGCCCACCAAGGCGACGAUCCGUAGCUGGUCUGAGAGGAUGAUCAGCCACACUGGAACUGAGACACGGUCCAGACUCCUACGGGAGGCAGCAGUGGGGAAUAUUGGACAAUGGGCGCAAGCCUGAUCCAGCCAUACCGCGUGGGUGAAGAAGGCCUUCGGGUUGUAAAGCCCUUUUGUUGGGAAAGAAAUCCAGCCGGCUAAUACCUGGUUGGGAUGACGGUACCCAAAGAAUAAGCACCGGCUAACUUCGUGCCAGCAGCCGCGGUAAUACGAAGGGUGCAAGCGUUACUCGGAAUUACUGGGCGUAAAGCGUGCGUAAGUGGUUGUUUAAGUUCGUGUUGNAAAGCCCUGUGGCUCCAACCUUGGGAACCUGCGUGGGNUUNCNUGCNUUGACCUNAGCAAUGUUNGUUGCACGGGUUACCCGNAAUUCCUNGUUGUUGCCCGUGAAAAUUCCGUUAAGAGNCCGGAGGGACACACCCACUGCGAAGGCGGGCUCNUCGCGCCCACUUNGCUUGGCCUNCNCUUGUGGUCCUCUCCCUUUUCCUCUUGNUGGGACCCCUAUCAUUCACCAUUAUNUUUGUGUCUGNCGCUCUAUACCAACCAUUUAUUUGUGUCGGGGCGCAUCAUAUGAUNGUGCCGGGGGUUUGCUAUA